CCUGGUUUAUCCUACCAGUAGCAUAUGCUUGUCUCAAGAUGAAGCCAUGCACGUGUAAGUACACACGGCCGGUACAGUGAAACUGCAAAUGGCUCAUUAAAUCAGUUAUGGUUCCUUUGAUUGCUCCAUCUUGGAUAACUUAACUGUGGUAAUUCUAAAGCUAAUACAUGCCGACGAGUGCGGACCUUCUAGGAUGCGUGCAUUUGUCAGACCAAGACUAAUCCGGGCUCGCCGGCCCUUUGGUGACGCUAGAUAACACUGGCCGAUUGCACGUCCCCAUGACGGCGAAGAUGCAUUCGAUUCGGGUGUGUACCCAUCAACUUUCAAUGGUACUUUCUGUGCCUACCACGGGUAAUGGGGAGUCAGUGUUGGAUUCCAGAGAGGGAGGCUGAGAAAUGGCUACCACAGCCAAGGAAGGCAGCAGGCGUGCAAAUUACCCACUCCCGACUCCGGGAGGUAGUGACGAAAAAUAACAAUAUAGGACUCUUUCGAGGCACUGUAAUUAGAAUGAGUACACUUUAAAUCCUUUAACGAGUACCCAUUGGAGGGCAAGUCUGAUGUCAGCAGCCACAGUAAUUCCAGCUCCAAUAGCAUAUAUUAAAGUUGCUGCAGUUAAAAAGCUUGUAGUUGGAUCUUGGGAUCGAGCCGGCGGUCCGCCGUGAGGUGAGCUACCGCCUGUCCCAGCCCCUGCCCCUUGGCGCCCCAUUGAAGCUCUUGCCUGAGUGUCCUGGAGGUCUGAAACAUUUACUUUGAAAAAAUGUGAGUGUUCAAAGCAGGCUGGUCGCCUGAAUACUUGAGCUAGGAAUAAUGGAAUAGGACUCCGGUUCUAUUUGGUUGGUUUUCGGAACUGGGGCCAUGAGACAGCCGGGGCACUCGUAUUGCGCCGCUACAGGUGAAAUUCUUGACCAGCGCAAGACGAACCAAAGUGAAAGCAUUAGCCAAGAAUGUUUUCAUUAAUCAAGAACGAAAGUCUGAAGUUCGAAGAUGAUCUGAUACUGUUGUAGCUCUGACCAUAAACUAUGCAGACUAGUGAUCUGGCAGUGUUUUUCCUAUGACCGCUGAGCAGCUUCUGCAAAACCUAAGUCUUUGGGUUCCGGGAAGUAUGGUUGCAAAGCUGAAACUUGAAGGAUUGAUGGAAGGCCACCACCAUGAAACCUCGCCCGGCCCGGUCACGGAAAGGAUUGACAGAUUGAUAGUUCUUUCUCGAUUCUGUGGGUGGGGGUGCAUGGCCGUUCUUAUUUGGUGGAGCGAUUUGUCUGGUUAAUUCUGAUAACGAACGAGACUCCUCCUUGCUAACUAGUUAUGCCUCCCCCAGCGGUCAGCGUUCAACUUCUUAGAGGGACUAGUGGCGUUUAGUCACAUGAGAUUGAUCAAUAACCGGUCUGUGAUGCCUUAGAUGACCGGGGCUGCACGCGCUAUACUGAACCGAUCAUCGUUUGUCUACCCUUGCAGACAGGUGCAGCUAACCCGCUGAACCCUGUUCGUGAUAGGGAUGGGGGAUUGCAAUUAUUUCCCAUGAACAAGGAAUUCCAGUAAGUGUGGGUCAUAAGCUUGCGUUGAUUAAGUCCCUGCCCUUUGUACACACUGCCCGUCACUAUUACCAAUUGGAUGGUUUAGUGAGGUCCUUGGAUCGGCCACGCCGGGGUCAUCAACGGCCCUGGUGGAGAGGCGCGAAGACUAUCAAACUUGACUAUCUAGAGGAAGUAAAAGUGUACAGGUUGGGUUAGCCUGCCGGGG
rnacentral:rRNA from 1 species